AGAGGGAACAUGUACGCACAUGAUGUUAUAUAAAGGCAAUAAGUGUACCAAGGAAGACCAAGAAAUGAAUUUUGAUGGAAAAAUUCUGAGAAGUUUGCUGCAGCUUCAUAGGUCAAAGUAAGUUAGGGGAAAUGACUUGAAAGAGGAGGAAAGAUGAUGCAGAUACAGGGU